rnacentral:rRNA from 1 species
GAUCCUGGCUUAGGAUGAACGCUAGCUACAGGCUAACACAUGCAAGUCGAGGGGCAGCAUGAUCUGUGCUUGCACAGAUUGAUGGCGACCGGCGCACGGGUGAGUAACGCGUAUCCAACCUUCCCCUUAGUAGGGCAUAGCCCGGCGAAAGUCGGAUUAAUACCCUAUGUUUUCCAAUGAGGACAUCUGAGCUGGAAUAAAGAUUCAUCGGCUAAGGGAUGGGGAUGCGUCCGAUUAGGUUGUUGGCGGGGUAACGGCCCACCAAGCCUUCGAUCGGUAGGGGUUCUGAGAGGAAGGUCCCCCACACUGGUACUGAGACACGGAACCAGACUCCUACGGGAGGCAGCAGUGAGGAAUAUUGGUCAAUGGGCGAAGAGCCUGAACCAGCCAAAAGUAGCGUGCAGGAUGACGGCCCUAUGGGUUGUAAACUGCUUUUAUACGGGGAUAAAGUGAGGGACGUGUCCCUUAUUGUAGGUACCGUAUGAAUAAGGACCGGCUAAUUCCGUGCCAGCCGCCGC